GACCCAGCAUGGCAUAGUGGUUUGAGCAUUGGACUACAACUCUGGAGACCAAGGUUCAAAUCCCUGCUCAGCCA